UACGGAGGGGACUAGCGUUGUUCGGAAUUACUGGGCGUAAAGCGCACGUAGGCGGAUUUGUAAGUCAGGGGUGAAAUCCCGAGGCUCAACCUCGGAACUGCCUUUGAUACUGCAAAUCUCGAGUCCGGAAGAGGUGAGUGGAAUUCCUAGUGUAGAGGUGAAAUUCGUAGAUAUUAGGAAGAACACCAGUGGCGAAGGCGGCUCACUGGUCCGGUACUGACGCUGAGGUGCGAAAGCGUGGGGAGCAAACGGG
rnacentral:rRNA from 1 species